rnacentral:rRNA from 1 species
GAUCAUGGCUCAGGAUGAACGCUGGCGGCGUGCCUAACACAUGCAAGUCGAGCGAAGCACUUUGCUUAGAUUCUUCGGAUGAAGAGGAUUGUGACUGAGCGGCGGACGGGUGAGUAACGCGUGGGUAACCUGCCUCAUACAGGGGGAUAGCAGUUAGAAAUGACUGCUAAUACCGCAUAAGACCACAGCACCGCAUGGUGGACGGGGGUAAAACUCCGGU